rnacentral:rRNA from 1 species
UACGUAGGGGGCAAGCGUUGUCCGGAAUCAUUGGGCGUAAAGCGCGCGUAGGCGGCCAGAUAAGUCCGGUGUGAAAGUCACAGGCUCAACCUGUGAAUGCCGCUGGAAACUGUCUGGCUCGAGUCCGGGAGGGGCGAGUGGAAUUCCUGGUGUAGCGGUGAAAUGCGUAGAGAUCAUGAGGAAGACCAGUGGCGAAGGCGGGUCUCUGGACAGUUCCUGACACUGAGGCACGAAGGCCAGGGGAGCAAACGGG